rnacentral:rRNA from 1 species
GAUGAACCGUGCGAACGUUAUUCGGAAUCACUGGGCUUAAAGGGCGCGUAGGCGGGCAGGCAAGUCGAAGGUGAAAUCCCACGGCUCAACCGUGGAAGUGCCCCCGAUACUGCCUGUCUGGAGGGAGAUAGGGGCGUGCGGAACUUCCGGUGGAGCGGUGAAAUGCGUAGAUAUCGGAAGGAACACCGGUGGCGAAAGCGGCGCGCUGGAUCUCUUCUGACGCUGAGGCGCGAAAGCCAGGGGAGCGAACGGG